rnacentral:lncRNA from 1 species
CAGUGCCUAAAAGUGCCUUAUAAAACUGUUCAAGGUGCCUUCUAAAACCUACAGUUUAACACGAAAUUGAAAAUGGUGAGAAGUUUCAAAGCAUUGUGCAGUGUCAUAUUGGAGUCUGGAAAGAGAAACAAAGCUCCAAAUUUGGAAGCAGCAGUGAAACUCCACAGAUUACUGAGGGCAAAAUUGCUGGGUCAUAUGAUGGAGGACACACAAGCACCAUGAUGCUGUGAAGUUUGCUGUAAGAAUAAAAAAACAUUCCCAGCCUCGCAGACGACGCUUGUUACUAAUCACCACAUUGCUGGUC